UACAGAGGUGGCUAGCGUUGUUCGGAUUUACUGGGCGUAAAGGGCGCGUAGGCGGCGCAACAAGUCACUUGUGAAAUCUCCGGGCUUAACCCGGAGCGGUCAAGUGAUACUGUCGUGCUAGAGUGCGGAAGGGGCUACUGGAAUUCUCGGUGUAGCGGUGAAAUGCGUAGAUAUCGAGAGGAACACCUGCGGCGAAGGCGGGUAGCUGGGCCGACACUGACGCUGAUGCGCGAAAGCCAGGGGAGCGAACGGG
rnacentral:rRNA from 1 species